UACAAUACGGAAUGAUAACUCUCAGAGC
rnacentral:sRNA from 1 species